rnacentral:rRNA from 1 species
AGAGUUUGAUCAUGGCUCAGGACGAACGCUGGCGGCGUGCUUAACACAUGCAAGUCGAACGGAAAGGCCCCUUCGGGGGUACUCGAGUGGCGAACGGGUGAGUAACACGUGGGUGAUCUGCCCUGCACUUUGGGAUAAGCCUGGGAAACUGGGUCUAAUACCGAAUAGGACCGCAUGCUUCAUGGUGUGUGGUGGAAAGCUUUUGCGGUGUGGGAUGGGCCCGCGGCCUAUCAGCUUGUUGGUGGGGUAAUGGCCUACCAAGGCGACGACGGGUAGCCGGCCUGAGAGGGUGUCCGGCCACACUGGGACUGAGAUACGGCCCAGACUCCUACGGGAGGCAGCAGUGGGGGAUAUUGCACAAUGGGCGCAAGCCUGAUGCAGCGACGCCGCGUGGGGGAUGACGGCCUUCGGGUUGUAAACCUCUUUCAGUAUCGGCGAAGCUCCAGGAUUUUUCUUGGGGUGACGGUAGGUACAGAAGAAGCACCGGCCAACUACGUGCCAGCAGCCGCGGUAAUACGUAGGGUGCGAGCGUUGUCCGGAAUUACUGGGCGUAAAGAGCUCGUAGGUGGUUUGUCACGUUGUCUGUGAAAACUCACAGCUUAACUGUGGGCGUGCGGGCGAUACGGGCAGACUGGAGUACUGUAGGGGAGACUGGAAUUCCUGGUGUAGCGGUGGAAUGCGCAGAUAUCAGGAGGAACACCGGUGGCGAAGGCGGGUCUCCGGGCAGUAACUGACGCUGAGGAGCGAAAGCGUGGGGAGCGAACAGGAUUAGAUACCCUGGUAGUCCAA